UGUUAGUACAUGGUUAAAUCAAAUCUUUUUUGAGACUUGAAAUUCCUAUUGGAUAGGGAUUGGACAAAGUUAAAAGCAAGCAUGAGGGGUGCCAAGAGUUGGGUCCUCAUUGGAUUUUUUGGGCAUAAAAUAAAGGGGCUCACGCCCCAUGUGGAUAAGGUUCAAGGGGUGCCAAUAGUUGGUGUACCCUUGUCUUGCGCAUGAAAAAAGCAGAGGAGAGACGGGCUGCAUGCCCCAUUGGAUUUUGUGCAUGAG
rnacentral:lncRNA from 1 species